UGGGUGUCAUGCUUUAUGCAUGCUUAAGCGGCAGCCUCAUUCUUUUGAAGGCGCAUUUUCUGUCGCCUGCGUCCAUCGCUUUGAAUGAUCCGACCAUGUCUGACAGAUGCGAUCGAUUGUUUCUUCUAGGUCAAGACCAUUUCACAGCAGUGAAGUAAACCUGAGGCUAAACAGAGGUCGGAGCAGAAGAGGAUAGGACUUCCAUGAAACCCACACUUGGCCUACAGUAUGCAGAGAAAGUGCAGUCCUCUCAGCUGAUCAUUUGGCUGAGAUAAGAGCUGCCUUAACUUAACCGGGCAUUCCAACUGGAGAACUAGAGAACGUCUCAUGCA